UACAGAGGUCCCAAGCGUUGUUCGGAUUCAUUGGGCGUAAAGGGUGCGUAGGCGGCGCGGUAAGUCGGGUGUGAAAUCUCGGGGCUCAACCCCGAAACUGCACUUGAUACUGCGGUGCUCGAGUACUGGAGAGGAGAUUGGAAUUUACGGUGUAGCAGUGAAAUGCGUAGAUAUCGUAAGGAAGACCAGUGGCGAAGGCGAAUCUCUGGACAGUUACUGACACUGAGGCACGAAGGCCAGGGGAGCAAACGGG
rnacentral:rRNA from 1 species